GCGAGAGACGAAGGAGCGGCGUGGCGGCUGCACGGCGAGGUUUUGCUGCCCUCAACAGCCUUUGCGUGUUAAAGCGCGCCACCCAAUUUGCGACAGAGUUAAUUGGUUCUUUGAUGUCUCCAGAAAGAUCAUAUUGGAUUUGUUCCUUUAACACCGACUCUUAGUGCAGUUCUGAUUUCUGUAUUAAUGAAUUGAGAAGAUGACACAUCAGGCUUUUAGACAAUAAUGACUUCAACCUGGGAAAAAGCUUACAGCUCAGUCAAAACUAGCCUAAAUCUAACCUUCAGUUUGGAGUCUUGGAUAAUGAGG